CAGGCGGUGGAGGAAAUGAAGAGGCGCUCCAGGGAGGGGCACGGCCAAGAGGCCAGGGCGGAGCGGGGAGAGCCGGUGGUGAGCGCAGCUGCCCUGCGACAUGGACGGCCCUUCGCGCUGCUGCUGCUGGCCCAGGACACAGCAGGGGUCGUGAUGGCAGCUCUUGGGCAGUGUCCUCUGCACCCCGGCCCCUUCGGCUCUCCACGCACCCAGGCGGGGCCACCUCCUCCAGGCUCUGCUGGGACACUGCUCUUGGUUCUGCAGACAAAGUGCCUCAACUUCCACAAUCGGCACUUCCCAGAUCAAUCAUCACCUACUUUAUCAUCCAGUUUGGUUGGUUCAGAUGACUUUAAACAGGUUCCUAUGGAAGAAUGAAACACAGCGAGGAGAAGAGAAUUGCCGAUUCCCAGGGGCCUGUGUCUGCCAGCGGCUGCUGAGUACCUCUGAGAAACUCUGCUUUGAGCUAAUAGGAACCCCCUGUUCUGGGAAGAUCAGUAUAUGGAACAAAAACCUCUGGGUGGACCCCUGGGCAAGAUGAAUUUGACCGACCAUAUGUUCCAGGACUCCAGCGAGAACAUCACCACCUCAACGUCAGGCCCCACACUACCCAGCAGGACUAUUUAAGAAACAACAGAAGCAUCAGACCAACUUUCUCCACAAAUCCUUGGAGCUUUCCUGCCAUGCCGAUGCCAUAUAUUCCAACGUGAUCAACCUGGCACCCAGGAAAGAGGAUGACUUCGCUGUCUAUGCCAACGUGCCCCCUUUCAACCGCCCCAGGAGGACAUCACCAGACCACGUGGAAUAUGCCUCCAUUGUAUUUCACUGAUGAGAGGCUCGUGAGAUGCUUCAGAGUGGAGAGUCAGACCUGUGCCUAUCUGUAUCCUGAUGCGGCUUUUGCUCUAGAUAUGUGUGUAUAUGUGUGCAUGUGUGUGUGUGUGUCUUUGCACGUGCCUGUGUGUGUUCAUGCCCGCCCAUGCUCAAAAAACCAUAAUAUGUAUUCUGAUGGAGGUAAAUGACUUGGUAUUUCUUCUAAUUUAUUGGAAGCAAGGUGCAGUUCUAAUGGAAAGGGGUGACAUCUGAGUGACAAGGGACAUAGUCAUUUCAGCCACUCUGAGCCAGAGGCAGGUUCCUGAGAGAGACUGGCCGAAAGAAGAGCCGUCUCUCUCCCCUGCCCCUCAUAAGGCCAGGGCUGAGGAGCAGGGCUCACCCCACUCAGGGACCAGCUCCCGGACUUCGUCUCUGCUGUGCUGCCCUGUAAGGAGCUGACUCCCUGCAGAGGUUAACGCGUGCGUCACACUCAGGUCUGUGGCUGAUCACCACGCACAUUUUCACAGCAGCUUUCCAGGGCCAUGCAGCAAGUGUGGAGGGAGACGGCGUGGGGGAGCUGCAAGUCCAUGGGGUCUCAAAGAGUUGGACAUGACUGAAGCAACUUAGCACGCAAAUGCAAUGGAGAAAAGAAAAUUUCAUUUAAAAACAAAGCUUAUGGAAGCCACUUUCAUCUUCGAGGAUGAUGUGAUUCACAUCGUUAAGAAAACACCUAUUCUACGGAUCCAUUCCAUCUAUAGAGACUGGAGAGGGGAGAUGAAAGUAGGAAGGAAACACAAAGAUUUCCAAGCCUCUGCCUUCUUUUCUAUUGAUAAUGGGAAAGUUCAAGAGCAGGCAACCCUUUGUCUUUAACACAGCUGUAUGAUGACCAGGUACCCUGAUUUGUUGGGGAUUUUCCUGGUGUACAACUGUGGUCCCAGCAAAAUUAUUAUUAGAUCCCCUUUCAUUCUCUAAAUUGUCAUAGUUUGGAUGAUAGAUUAUGUGGUCACCUGUUCACAAGAUUUUGAGAGUGCAAAAGCAAUUCCAAGACCAAUAAGGAAGGGAAAGCAAAGUUGUUUUGUACAAUAAAGUGGGAACGGAAUCGGGGUGGGAGUGGAGGAGGCUGCAUGUACGGUGCCUUGGGGAGGUGCGAGGGCAGUCUGGAGGCCAAACGGAGCUAAAAUCACAUAAAGAUUUCCACCACCAUAAACCUUGGUAAAGCCCAGUGAACACAACAAUUCCUGGUGCGGGUAUUUAGGGGAAGGGGGCACCAUGGAAAGGGAACCGAAGUCUACAUCUAGGUCAGCACAGAGCAGAAAUAAAGGGAAGUGGUAAGAGGUGCAAUAUGAAUGAGCUGGACCGUUCAGAGGAAGGCUGAGCUCAGAGCCGGAAGAGAACACAAGAAUGCAAACUCUCUGAAACUUCUCAGAAAUCUCAGGGAGGGGACCAGAGUUUCGGAAGAACCUACAGUUGGGAGGUUAACAACGGUAUUUAAUGGGUAGUUUGACCUCAGCAUGAAUCUGGGUUGUAAAAUUUAAACAGCUUCCUUUAUGGUGAGACUUCUCAGAGGCUUCAAUAUGUAAUCUACUUCAUGAAUAAAGUCCUUCAUGAAUAAAGCUCUCUUUUGUUUUCCUAGGGAGCAUUCCAUAGGGCAGGAAGUAAUCCUUGUAACAUCCUGUGGGAAGGCUUUUUUAAGGGGCCACCUGCCCAGGAGGCACUGUCACAGGGAUCUCGGGUGGUGUGGGCCUGGAACGGCUUGCCGUGAAGCCUCUGUUCCCGGCCAGAGGUUGGGGUCAGGUCACGGCGGUGAGAGCACCAAAUUCCGGCCACUAGACCAGUGGUCGGUGACAAGGCCCUGCCCCUUCAGCUUUGAGGCAGAAGAAUUUCCACAAAGAUGGAAAGUAAUGUUACAAAGUAUUUAUUAGGAAGAAAAAGUACAGUACUUAUGGAUAGACAUACGAAAGAGAGAGUCACACUGUCGUGGUGGUUUAAAUCAUUUGUAUGGGACAUUUCUUCUGGGUUUCUUUUGGCCAGUCAUUCUGAUUUGCCUGGUUCAGAGUCCGUAUUUGGUUUAUCUCAGUGUCCUCCUGUGUGU
ensembl:lncRNA